CAGAUAAGACUUGGCGUCGUGCGGCGGAGGAUAUCUGGAUACGGAAAUCAGGAUUCAGAUUACGUGUAAGCAGCGUGGGAGCGCCGAAAGGCAACCAGGACUCCCACAUCCUAAUGGCCAGCAACGCAGAUUGCAAAUUGAAAAGGGCAAAAAAAAAUGGGUGAAAAACGCGUAAACUGAUGCGAUGGCAGCCAACCAAGACGUCGACAUCUGUAAUCCCCGCCUGCAAGUGUGCCAUAAAAAUUCAAAUUUUCAAAUUCGCCCCAGCUCAUAUGCUCAACAAAUCCCACUUAAUUGUUGGUGCGGUGGUUCUGCAAUGAAAUUUCAUGUAUUCUAAUUUAUGCAAACUUAACAAAGGAGCGCCGUUGCUGGCCACAUUGCGCCUUCAGUUUUGUUUCGUUCUGCACUUGUGCAUAAGUACAAUGGCUGCAAAAAAAAAAAUACAUAAAAAAGGGAGGCGAGUGAAAAAGUAAAAUAAAAAGUAAGGAGGGAAAAGGAAAAGAAUCCCGAAUAAAAUGCAGUGCCAAACAAAUGCAAACCAAACUCAGCUGAGGCGAAACAGUCAGGCAAGCAGCCAGCGGGCCACUUGGCGUAUACGUAAUUCGCAUUUGGGCAACAGCAACUGCAACACGAACAACAAUUGCAAUGGCUACGUGCCAAGGCAGUGGAACAGGGACAGCAAAAAGGACGUUCCACAGUGAAUGAUGGGGAGAGGGGGGCCAGAAGGUAAACGGUAUUAAUGGCAGGACCUUCUUUUUGGCAGCAGUUGGCAAGCGUAACAGAAAUAGCUGCAAUGCGACUUUUUCGCUUUUUGGCUGUUGAUGUCUUUUCUGCUGUAUGUUGCACGUGGUGCACGUCUGUAUGUCUGUUUCUGUGUAUGGGUGUAUGUGUGUUUGCCUGCAUAUAGCGACUAUAUCUAUCCAUUGCAGCAACAUACAAAUCACUUGAAACUUUACGGAAAUCGUAUCCCUUGUUUCUCUCCGAUUCCGAAAACACCCCAUAAGUAAUCGAAUGCUAAUGGAAAACUGUUGCUCAUAAAUAUGCCAGGCAGCAAUUUGUCGAAGGCUGGCCAUAAAAACUACAAGGGCCAUUUAACUUAUGAGUGCUGUAGGCCCAUACCCGCCAAGCAUCCCCCCUGUCUUCUUGCCCCAUUGCCCAUCCGCCCCCUGGCCAACUUAGAUUCCUUCCUUGGCCCGGGCCAAUUGCCAGCGGCGUCAGCGUCGACGGCUCUUCAGCGUCAUCAACACAUCGUGUACGUGACUUUGCUAACAAAAAUUAACAAUUUCAUUAGUGGUCCCCGUUGCAGGACGAAGGAUGAAAACUGGCGACUGGUGACUGAAUGCUGGUUGCUGUAUACGGAAUACUGAAGGAUGGCUGAAGGAGAUGACGUAGUGUCAGUCGAAGAAAAGAAAAACGAGGAGCAACAGCAGUGUACUGUGAGAAAGAUCAUAAUAGUUGUGAGUUUCAAAUGGAAUUUAACUGGAGAGAAAUCGAAAAGUACUAACAAUUUAGAGGCCAGAUUAACCAUGUGAUGUUGAAAUUCUUAAGAUAGAGCUUGCUACAAAACAUUAAAUAGUCGAUCAAU